CACGGGACUGGUCGAAACUGA
rnacentral:snRNA from 1 species